GAUGAACGCUGGCGGCGUGCCUAAUACAUGCAAGUCGAGCGAACAGACGAGGGGCUUGCUCCUCUGACGUUAGCGGCGGACGGGUGAGUAACACGUGGAUAACCUACCUAUAAGACUGUGAUAACGUCGGGAAACCGUUACUAAUACCUGAUAAUAUAUGAAGCCGGAUGGUGCAAUAGUGAAAUAGGGUUUUGCUGUCACUUAUAGAUGGAUCCGCGCCGCAUUAGCUAGUUGGUAGGGUAACGGCCUACCAAGGCAACGAUGCGUAGCCGACCUGAGAGGGUGAUCAGCCACACUGGAACUGAGACACGGUCCAGACUCCUACGGGAGGCAGCAGUAGGGAAUCUUCCGCAAUGGGCGAAAGCCUGACGGAGCAACGCCGCGUGAGUGAUGAAGGUCUUCGGAUCGUAAAACUCUGUUAUUCGGGAAGAAAAAAUGUGUAAGUAAAUAUGCACGUCUUGACGGUACCUAAUCAGAAAGCAACGGCUAACUACGUG
rnacentral:rRNA from 1 species